GACGAACGCUGGCGGCGUGCUUAACACAUGCAAGUCGAACGGAAAGGCCCUGCUUUUGUGGGGUGCUCGAGUGGCGAACGGGUGAGUAACACGUGAGUAACCUGCCCUUGACUUUGGGAUAACUUCAGGAAACUGGGGCUAAUACCGGAUAGGAGCUCCUGCUGCUUGGUGGGAAUUGGAAAGUUUCGGCGGUUGGGGAUGGACUCGCGGCUUAUCAGCUUGUUGGUGGGGUAGUGGCUUACCAAGGCUUUGACGGGUAGCCGGCCUGAGAGGGUGACCGGCCACAUUGGGACUGAGAUACGGCCCAGACUCCUACGGGAGGCAGCAGUGGGGAAUAUUGCACAAUGGGCGGAAGCCUGAUGCAGCAACGCCGCGUGCGGGAUGACGGCCUUCGGGUUGUAAACCGCUUUCGCCUGUGACGAAGCGUGAGUGACGGUAAUGGGUAAAGAAGCACCGGCUAACUACGUG
rnacentral:rRNA from 1 species